rnacentral:rRNA from 1 species
AACGAACGCUGGCGGCAGGCCUAACACAUGCAAGUCGAGCGAGGACUUCGGUUCUAGCGGCGGACGGGGGAGUAACGCGUGGGGAUGUUCCCUUCUCUACGGACUAGCCCUGGGAAACUGGGAGUAAUACCGUAUACGCCCUAUUGGGGAAAAAUUUAUCGGAGAAGGAUCAGCCCGCGUUGGAUUAGGUAGUUGGUGGGGUAAUGGCCGACCAAGCCGACGAUCCAUAGCUGGUUUGAGAGGCUGAUCAGCCACACUGGGACUGGGACACGGCCCAGACUCCUACGCGAGGCAGCAGUGGGGAAUCUUAGACAGUGGGGGCAACCCUGAUCUAGCCAGGCCGGUUGAGUGAUGAAGGCCUUAGGGUUGUAAAGCUCUUUCAGCUGGGAAGAUAAUGACGGUACCAGCAGAAGAAGCCCCGGCUAACUCCGUG